UACGAAGGGGGCAAGCGUUGUUCGGAUUUACUGGGCGUAAAGGGAGUGUAGGCGGUUCUCCAAGUCAGACGUGAAAGCCCGGGGCUCAACCCCGGAAUUGCGUUUGAGACUGUGGAACUUGAGUGUCUGAGGGGUAAGCGGAAUUCCCAGUGUAGAGGUGAAAUUCGUAGAUAUCGGGGAGGAACACCUGUGGCGAAAGCGGCUCACUGGACCACAACUGACGCUGAGGCGCGAAAGCUAGGGGAGCAAACAGGAUAAGAAA
rnacentral:rRNA from 1 species